rnacentral:rRNA from 1 species
CGGAGAGGGAGCAUGAGAAACGGCUACCACAUCUAAGGAAGGCAGCAGGCGCGCAAAUUACCCAAUCCUGACACAGGGAGGUAGUGACAAGAAAUAACAAAGCAAGCACCAAUGGUGUUUUGCUAUUGGAAUGAGUAGAAUUUAAAUCUCUUUUCGACUAUCAGUUGGAGGGCAAGUCUGGUGCCAGCAGCCGCGGUAAUUCCAGCUCCAAUAGCGUAUAUUAAAGUUGUUGCGGUAAAAAAGCUCGUAGUUGGAUUUCUGUUGCGAAUGGCCGGUCUUCACUACGUGAAUGUAUCUGGCUCAAUCGUGGCAUCCUCAUAGGAAACGUUGCUGCGCUUCACUGCGUGGUGCGGUGCCUAUGACUUUUACUUUGAGGAAAUUAGAGUGUUCACGGCAGGCAAUCGCCCUGAAUAUGUUAGCAUGGAAUAAUAAUAUAGGAUCUUGGUUCUAUUUUGUUGGUUUCUAGAGCUAAGAUAAUGGUUAAUAGGAACAAUUGGGGGCAUUUGUAUUAACAUGUCAGAGGUGGAAUUCUUGGAUUAUGUUACGACAAACUACUGCGAAAGCAUUUGCCAAGGAUGUUUUCAUUGAUCAAGAACGAAAGUAAGGGGAUCGAAGAUGAUUAGAUACCGUCGUAGUCUUUACCAUAAACUAUGUCAACUCGGGACGUAGCGUCGUUCUUUUUAUGACUCGCUGCGCACCGUAUGAGAUAUCAAAGUUUUUGGAUUCCGGGGGGAGUAUGGUCGCAAGGCUGAAACUUAAAGGAAUUGACGGAAGGGCUCCACUAGGAGUGGAGCCUGCGGUUUAAUUCGACUCAACACGGGAAACUCAUCAGGUCCAGACAUAGUGAGGAUGGACAGAAUGAUAGCUCUGUCUUGAUUCUAUGGGUGGCGGUGCAUGUCCGAUCUUAGUUAGUGGAGUGAUUUGUUUGCUUAAUUGCGUUAACGAACGAGACCUCAACAUAUUAAAUAGACCAUCCUAUCAUAGGAUAAGCUGCUGUCUUAUUAGAGGGACUUUGCUCACUUCAGGGUAGGGAAGUUUGAGUCUAAAUCAGGUAUGUAAUGACAUUAGAUGUUCUGGGCUGCACGCGCGCUACACUGAUGCGUUCAACGAGAGUAAAACCAUGCCAGGCAUGGUUGGGUAAUCUUCUGAACUCGCAUCGUGAAGGGGAUAGAUUAUUGCAAUUUUUAAUCUUCAACGAGGAAAUCAUAGUAAGUUGAAGUCAUCAGAUUCGAUUGAUUACGUCCCUGCCCUCUGUACACGCCUCCCGUCGCUUGUACCGAUUGAGUGUUUCGGUGAAUACUUUGGCCUGACACCGUUAUGGGUUCGCUCAUUUUGGCGAAGGAAAAUAGAGUAAACCUCAACAAUGAGAAGAAGAGA